rnacentral:lncRNA from 1 species
GCGAUAGUCGUUUAGCUCAGUUACCUUAACUUUCUUGGGAACAGGAACAAUGGUGGCCCUCUUGAAGCAUGUGGGAACAGCAGACUGGGAUAGGGAUUGAUUGAAUAUGUCCGUAAACAGACCAGCCAGCUGGUCUGCGCAUGCUCUGAGGACACGGCUAGGGUUGGCGCCUGGGCUGGCAGCCUUGCGAGGGUUAACACGUUUAAAUGUUUUACUCACGUUGGCUGUGGUGAAGGAGAGUCCGCAGGUUUUGGUAGCGGGCCGUGUCGGUGGCACUGUAUUGUCCUCAAAGUGAGCAAAGAAGUUGUUUAGUUGGUCUGGGAGCAAGAUAUCGGGGUCUGCGACGGGUCUUGGUUUUCUUUUUGUAGUCCGUGAUUGACUGUAGACCCUGCCACAUACCUCUCGUGUCUGAGCCGUUGAAUUGCGACUCUACUUUGUACACUGUUUGUAUUCGGUCAUGUUUCCGGUCGCCUAGCCCUGAUUAAAAGCAGUGGUUCGCGCGAAUGCUGCCAUCAAUCCACGGUUUCUGGUUGGGGAAGGUUUUAAUUGUCACCAAUCACCGAUGCAUUUGCUAAUAAACUCGCUCACCGAAUCAGAGUAUACAUCAAUGUUGUUGUUCGAUGCUAUCCGGAACAUAUCCCAGUCCACGUGAUCGAAGCAAUCUUGAAGCGCGGAAUCAGAUUCGUCGGACCAGCAUUGAACAGACCUGAGCGCCUGUACAUGACUGAUUAUAAUCGAAGAGAAUUCUCUAGGUAGAUAAUGCGGUCGGCAUUUGAUUGUAAGGAAUUCUAGGUCAGGUGAACAAAAGGACUUGAGUUCCUGUAUGUUGUUAUGAUCACACCACGACUCGUUAAUCAUAAGGCAUACAUACACCCCCGCCCUUCUUACCAGAGAGAUGUUUGUUUCUGUCGGCGCAAUGCGUGAAGAAACCAGGUGGCUGUACCGACUCUGAUAACGUAUCCCGAGUGAGCCAUGUUUCCGUGAAACAGAGAAUGUUACAAACUCUGAUGUUUCUCUGGAAGGCAACCCUUGUUCGGAUUUUGUCUACCUUGUUGUCAAGAGACUGGAGAUUGACUAGUAGUAUACUCGGGAGCGGUGUGCCCGUCUACGGAGCCCGUCUGCCCCUUCUGUGACGCCAUUGUUUUGGGUCGCAUGCUGGGAUCCGAUCCAUUGUCCUGGGUGGUGGACCAAACAGAGGAUCCGCUUCAGGAAAGUUGUAUUCCUGGUCGUAAUGUUGAACUUUAACAGGCACACAGAAGCAGUACACUGGUUCGCUAACUCCUGGGAGAUCUACAUGAUCCAACCUACUGUAGCGACCCAUCUGGAAGCACUUCCCCAUUUCCCCUGCUGGAGUUUCAGAUCCCAGUCACGGUGGGUCAUCGGAGUAUGAUUUAUGUUCGCACAUGUGAACGCUUUCCAGCUUCAGCUGCGGCCAUCAGACUUUCAAAUCUGACAGCCAGCUCUUUUGGUCCUGAAAUGUGGUAAAAACAGAUCUAGAAAGAUAAGAGAGAGACAAAGAAUGAGGGAGGGAGGGAAAAAGAGUGAAGGGGGGCAGUAGUUUGUCAUGGGGGGG